UACGUAGGGGGCAAGCGUUGUCCGGAAUCAUUGGGCGUAAAGAGCGUGUAGGCGGCCAGGUAGGUCUGGUGUGAAAACUCGAGGCUUAACCUCGAGAUGUCAUCGGAAACCAUCUGGCUAGAGUCCGGAAGAGGAGAGUGGAAUUCCUGGUGUAGCGGUGAAAUGCGCAGAUAUCAGGAAGAACACCAAUGGCGAAAGCAGCUCUCUGGGACGGUACUGACGCUGAGACGCGAAAGCGUGGGGAGCGAACGGG
rnacentral:rRNA from 1 species